rnacentral:rRNA from 1 species
AGUGAACGCUGGCGGUAGGCCUAACACAUGCAAGUCGAACGGCAGCACAGAGGAGCUUGCUCCUUGGGUGGCGAGUGGCGGACGGGUGAGGAAUACAUCGGAAUCUACUCUGUCGUGGGGGAUAACGUAGGGAAACUUACGCUAAUACCGCAUACGACCUACGGGUGAAAGUAGGGGAUCUUCGGACCUUGCGCGAUUGAAUGAGCCGAUGUCGGAUUAGCUAGUUGGCGGGGUAAGGGCCCACCAAGGCGACGAUCCGUAGCUGGUCUGAGAGGAUGAUCAGCCACACUGGAACUGAGACACGGGCCAGACUCCUACGGGAGGCAGCAGUGGGGAAUAUUGGAUAAUGGGCGCAAGCCUGAUCCAGCCAUACCGCGUGGGUGAAGAAGGCCUUCGGGUUGUAAAGCCCUUUUGUUGGGAAAGAAAUCCAUCUGGUUAAUACCCGGGUGGGAUGACGGUACCCAAGGAAUAAGCACCGGCUAACUUCGUGCCAGCCGCCGCAGUAA